GUCUACGGCCAUACCACCCUGAACGCGCCCGAUCGUCUGAUCUCGGAAGCUAAGCAGGGUCGGGCUGGCUAGUACUUGGAUGGGAGACCGCUGGGAAUCCGGUGCGUAGCUU
ensembl:rRNA 5S_rRNA 5S ribosomal RNA